rnacentral:rRNA from 1 species
UACGAAGGGGGGCUAACGUUGCUCGGAAUCACUGGGCGUAAAGCGCACGUAGGCGGAUUGUUAAGUCAGGGGUGAAAUCCUGGAGCUCAACUCCAGAACUGCCUUUGAUACUGGCAAUCUCGAGUCCGGGAGAGGUGAGUGGAACUCCGAGUGUAGAGGUGAAAUUCGUAGAUAUUCGCAAGAACACCAGUGGCGAAGGCGGCUCACUGGCCCGAUACUGACGCUGAGGCACGAAAGCGUGGGGAGCAAACAGG